rnacentral:rRNA from 1 species
AACGAACGCUGGCGGCAUGCCUAACACAUGCAAGUCGAACGAGACCUUCGGGUCUAGUGGCGCACGGGUGCGUAACGCGUGGGAACCUGCCUUUAGGUUCGGAAUAACUCAGAGAAAUUUGAGCUAAUACCGGAUGAUGUCUUCGGACCAAAGAUUUAUCGCCUUUAGAUGGGCCCGCGUUGGAUUAGCUAGUUGGUGGGGUAAAGGCCUACCAAGGCGACGAUCCAUAGCUGGUCUGAGAGGAUGAUCAGCCACACUGGGACGGAGACACGGCCCAGACUCCUACGGGAGGCAGCAGUGGGGAAUAUUGGACAAUGGGCGAAAGCCUGAUCCAGCAAUGCCGCGUGAGUGAUGAAGGCCUUAGGGUUGUAAAGCUCUUUUACCCGAGAUGAUAAUGACAGUAUCGGGAGAAUAAGCUCCGGCUAACUCCGUG